AGAGUUUGAUCCUGGCUCAGGAUGAACGCUAGCUACAGGCUUAACACAUGCAAGUCGAGGGGAAACGACAUCGAAAGCUUGCUUUUGAUGGGCGUCGACCGGCGCACGGGUGAGUAACGCGUAUCCAACCUGCCCACCACUUGGGGAUAACCUUGCGAAAGUAAGACUAAUACCCAAUGAUAUCUCUAGAAGACAUCUGAAGGAGAUUAAAGAUUUAUCGGUGAUGGAUGGGGAUGCGUCUGAUUAGCUUGUUGGCGGGGUAACGGCCCACCAAGGCGACGAUCAGUAGGGGUUCUGAGAGGAAGGUCCCCCACAUUGGAACUGAGACACGGUCCAAACUCCUACGGGAGGCAGCAGUGAGGAAUAUUGGUCAAUGGACGAGAGUCUGAACCAGCCAAGUAGCGUGCAGGAUGACGGCCCUAUGGGUUGUAAACUGCUUUUAUAAGGGAAUAAAGUGAGUCUCGUGAGACUUUUUGCAUGUACCUUAUGAAUAAGGACCGGCUAAUUCCGUGCCAGCAGCCGCGGUAAUACGGAAGGUCCGGGCGUUAUCCGGAUUUAUUGGGUUUAAAGGGAGCGUAGGCCGGAGAUUAAGCGUGUUGUGAAAUGUAGACGCUCAACGUCUGCACUGCAGCGCGAACUGGUUUCCUUGAGUACGCACAAAGUGGGCGGAAUUCGUGGUGUAGCGGUGAAAUGCUUAGAUAUCACGAAGAACUCCGAUUGCGAAGGCAGCUCACUGGAGCGCAACUGACGCUGAAGCUCGAAAGUGCGGGUAUCGAACAGGAUUAGAUACCCUGGUAGUCCGCACGGUAAACGAUGGAUGCCCGCUGUUGGUCUGAAUAGGUCAGCGGCCAAGCGAAAGCAUUAAGCAUCCCACCUGGGGAGUACGCCGGCAACGGUGAAACUCAAAGGAAUUGACGGGGGCCCGCACAAGCGGAGGAACAUGUGGUUUAA
rnacentral:rRNA from 1 species